rnacentral:rRNA from 1 species
UACGUAGGGGGCUAGCGUUGUCCGGAAUCAUUGGGCGUAAAGCGCGUGUAGGCGGUUCGGUAAGUCCGCUGUGAAAGUCGGGGGCUCAACCCUCGGAUGCCGGUGGAUACUGUCGGAUUAGAGUACGGAAGAGGCGAGUGGAAUUCCUGGUGUAGCGGUGAAAUGCGCAGAUAUCAGGAGGAACACCGAUUGCGAAGGCAGCUCGCUGGGACGUUACUGACGCUGAGACGCGAAAGCGUGGGGAGCAAACAGG